rnacentral:tRNA from 6 species
CGGGGCGUGGCGCAGUUUGGUAGCGCGCUUCCUUGGGGUGGAAGAGGUCGUGAGUUCGAAUCUCGCCGCUCCGACCA